rnacentral:lncRNA from 1 species
CUCACGAGUUCUCUAUUAGACAUAUAUUAUCUCUAUAACCUAUGAGGAAACUAAGGCUUAUGGAGGUUAAGAUCACUUGCCCAAGGUCACACAAUCAGUAAUUUUCUUUCUUUCUUUCUUUCUUUCUUUCUUUCUUUCUUUCUUUCUUUCUUUCUUUCUUUCUUUCUUUCUUCUGAAGCACAUUUCUUUUCUUUUCUUUUCUUUUUUACAAUUUUAUUUAUUUAUUUAGAGAGAGAGUGAGAGAGAGAGCGGCGGGGUAGGGAUAGAAGAAGAGAGAGAAUCCCAAGCAGACUCUCCAAUGAAUGUGGAGCCCAAUGUGGGGCUCGAUCUCACAGCCCUGCGAUCAUGACCUGAGCCAAAACCAAGAGUGAGAUGUUCAACAGACUGAGCCACCCAGAUGCCCCUGGGUGACUUUUUAGCAACCUUUUGUGCAGUCUGGUUCCUCAUCUCACUCCACACUACAGUAGGCUUUUUUAUUCUCAGAUGACAGCAGAGAAUCCAUUGUGUCCCAGGGGUACCGGCAGAAACACCCUUCAGUACAAUGACAAGGGGCAGCUGAGAACAUUACAUCAUCAUCUCUCAUGAGAUGCCCAGUGUUCUUGGCUGCAGAUAGAGAAUGGUUUCCAUGUCUUAAAGUCAUUAUAGGUUCCAUUAGAAAACCUACUUGGAAGACACAGAACACUCAUGGACAAGAUGCUCAUGCUGCUCCUGUGGUCUUGCACUCUAUCCUUGUUUCCUCUCAGUGGCUUACCGGGGUCGCUGAUAGUUGGCCUGCUGUUUGACAGGUGUUGCAGGUAAAGGAGAUGUGUUGCCCUCACUUAAACCACAUUGUCUCUAGAUUGUGCAUGUGGUGGGAAUUGGUAUGAUCUUGAAAAUCAAGAGGCUUGAAGUCCAGUUCCCACUUGGCCACAGACGCCAUGCCCUGGAAAUAAGCCCCUGAAUUUCUCGGGACUUCUUCCCAUGUCCAUUGCACAGAACAACAUUCCCUCCAUCAUCUACCCCAUGGAGGGGGCACAGCCUUUGAAAGAAGAGUGCUUGAUGGCACUUAGCAUAUGCCUCAGCAGUGCACCCCUGCCCCUCAGCCUCUGCUUGAAUGCCUUCAUCGAUGAGUUCUCCCCUCCAAACACAGCCCAUUCCAGCCUGGGCUCUGGAGCCAUUUAAGGCACAGCUUUCCAUCCUGGCUCUGCCUCUUGGGCACCUGGAGUCAUCAAGUUUUUGGGUUACCUUCCCCCCCCCAGUUGUUUUUAUUUUUGUAUUCUCUUAAUGUGCACAUCAUGUGUAUUUGAACCCUGAAGCCAGUGGAAGGCUGGCCCAUGCUUCUGAAAGCCCAAGGCCUACGUCUUUACCCUCCCCCAAUGCCUGACACCUGGAUCAUCAGGCUUCCUCAUCAUUUCCUGUUACUGGGUGGACUUCUUUCCCACCCUCCCUUUUGCUGAAGAUAUUCUCUCCACGGUCCCACUUUGGAUAGGGUUUUUAUUCCAGUUCUCCCCCCUUGGCUGUGGCACUAAGAGGAGGGAAUCCUGGAGCUGCUGGGACCCACCAUGGGGGGGAAGGUUUACUUGAGAACCAGCAGAGGGCAGAGCAGAGCGACAAAGAGCUCUGUGUUGAUGACACGGCGUGAGCACUGGGAUCAGCUGUGAUGGAAGCCAGAAAUCAUCUGAAGUUUUUAGUAGGGUAAACCAAUAGACUUCCUUUGUUGCUAAAACCUGUUUGAUCUGGAUUUUCUGUCUCUGAAAACAAAUAGUCUUG